AUUAUGGCAACUCCCCUAUAGGCCUAGUGUCGAUCCAUUCCAUAAAUGUGCAUGCCUACAUGUUCAUUCAUGAUUAGUUCUAGGUAUCGGUACGUAGAAAACAUAUUUAAAAUGUUUAUGAACUGAUGGUGAAGUAUUCUAAUCCAAUAAGGAUUUCGCGAUCGAAUAUUUACUCUUUCCUACUUAUCUGUUAAUUUAGAAUCUUAUCAAAUAAAGCCAUUUUUUUGUUUGUUCCGCCAUCCCACCCAAUGAAGUGUUAGGAUUCUUUUCAAUGAAAUCCGAUGGACUAAUCUUGAAAUCAUUGUCAAUGUCGGGACACUUGAAGUACCUACACCCCUUCUUC
rnacentral:lncRNA from 1 species